AGCUGGGGGCUCGAACUGGGAUCCUUACGCCGGUCCUAGUCCUUUGCACUACCUGUGCUUAACCCACUGCACUACCGCCGGACUCCCAUCCUUUUAGGAAUUUUAAGCACACAUCUCUGAGUAGAAAGGAGCCGAGUUACAUAGGGUAAUCAAGCUUCCAAGACCCCAGACACAUCCAAAUUUUGCAUUGCAUGUGGCAUUCUGCCUUUCUUU
rnacentral:snRNA from 1 species